rnacentral:sRNA from 1 species
UUUCAUCUGCGCGCUCCUCAUCGGCGCGUUCUGAUUUCGCAACGGCUGCAGGUGCUCAUGCGUCUGCAGCCGUUCAUCGGCCGGUGC